rnacentral:rRNA from 1 species
GAUGAACGCUGACAGAAUGCUUAACACAUGCAAGUCUACUUGAACUUCGGUUUGGGUGGCGGACGGGUGAGUAACGCGUAAAGAACUUGCCUCACAGUUAGGGACAACAUUUGGAAACGAAUGCUAAUACCUGAUAUUAUGAUUUUAGGGCAUCCUAGGAUUAUGAAAGCUAUAUGUGCUGUGAGAGAGCUUUGCGUCCCAUUAGCUAGUUGGAGAGGUAACGGCUCACCAAGGCGAUGAUGGGUAGCCGGCCUGAGAGGGUGAACGGCCACAAGGGGACUGAGACACGGCCCCUACUCCUACGGGAGGCAGCAGUGGGGAAUAUUGGACAAUGGACCAAAAGUCUGAUCCAGCAAUUCUGUGUGCACGAUGACGUUUUUCGGAAUGUAAAGUGCUUUCAGUUGGGAAGAAAAAAAUGACGGUACCAACAGAAGAAGUGACGGCUAAAUACGUG